rnacentral:rRNA from 1 species
GAUGAACGCUGGCGGCGUGCCUAAUACAUGCAAGUCGAGCGAACGGACGAGAAGCUUGCUUCUCUGAUGUUAGCGGCGGACGGGUGAGUAACACGUGGAUAACCUACCUAUAAGACUGGGAUAACUUCGGGAAACCGGAGCUAAUACCGGAUAAUAUUUUGAACCGCAUGGUUCAAAAGUGAAAGACGGUCUUGCUGUCACUUAUAGAUGGACCCGCGCUGCAUUAGCUAGUUGGUAAGGUAACGGCUUACCAAGGCAACGAUGCAUAGCCGACCUGAGAGGGUGAUCGGCCACACUGGAACUGAGACACGGUCCAGACUCCUACGGGAGGCAGCGGUAGGGAAUCUUCCGCAAUGGGCGAAAGCCUGACGGAGCAACGCCGCGUGAGUGAUGAAGGUCUUCGGAUCGUAAAACUCUGUUAUUAGGGAAGAACAUAUGUGUAAGUAACUGUGCACAUCUUGACGGUACCUAAUCAGAAAGCCACGGCUAACUACGUG